UACGUAGGGGGCAAGCGUUGUCCGGAUUUACUGGGCGUAAAGAGCUCGUAGGCGGUUCAGUUAGUCGGGUGUGAAAUCUCCGGGCUCAACCCGGAGGGGCCACCCGAUACUGCUGUGACUCGAGUCCGGUAGGGGAGUGGGGAAUUCCUGGUGUAGCGGUGAAAUGCGCAGAUAUCAGGGGGAACACCGGUGGCGAAGGCGCCACUCUGGGCCGGUACUGACGCUGAGGAGCGAAAGCGUGGGUAGCAAACAGG
rnacentral:rRNA from 1 species